rnacentral:rRNA from 1 species
GAUCUACCCAUGGGCAGGUUGAAGCUGUGGUAACACACAGUGGAGGACCGAACCAGUUGACGUUGAAAAGUCUUUGGAUGACCUGUGGGUAGGGGUGAAAGGCCAAUCAAACUCGGAAAUAGCUCGUACUCCCCGAAAUGCAUUUAGGUGCAGCGUUGAGUAAAAGUUUUAUAGAGGUAGAGCUACUGAUUGGAUGCGGGGGCUUCACCGCCUACCAAUUCCUGACAAACUCCGAAUGCUAUAAAAUGUUUCUCAGCAGUGAGGGCAUGGGUGCUAAGGUCCAUGUCCGAGAGGGAAAGAACCCAGACCAUCAGCUAAGGUCCCCAAAUAUAUGUUAAGUUGAAUAAACGAGGUUUGACUGCCCAGACAGCUAGGAUGUUGGCUUGGAAGCAGCCAUUCAUUUAAAGAGUGCGUAACAGCUGACUAGUCGAGCGGUCGAGCAU